UACGUAGGGGGCGAGCGUUGUCCGGAUUUAUUGGGCGUAAAGAGCUCGUAGGCGGUUUGGUAAGUCGGAUGUGAAAUCUCCAGGCUCAACCUGGAGGGGUCAUUCGAUACUGCCAUGACUAGAGUUCGGUAGGGGUGUGUGGAAUUCCUGGUGGAGCGGUGAAAUGCGUAGAGAUGUGGAGGAACACCGAUGGCGAAGGCAGCCUUCUGGGCCAACACUGACGCUCAUGCACGAAAGCGUGGGGAGCAAACAGG
rnacentral:rRNA from 1 species